CCGAAUAAAACUUAGUGUCGCAUGACACAAAGUUAAAAGGCGCUUCGGCGUCACCUAGAGAUGGAUCCGCGGUGCAUUAGUUAGUUGGUGGGGUAAAGGCCUACCAAGACAAUGAUGCAUAGCCGAGUUGAGAGACUGAUCGGCCACAUUGGGACUGAGACACGGCCCAAACUCCUACGGGAGGCUGCAGUAGGGAAUCUUCCACAAUGGGCGAAAGCCUGAUGGAGCAACGCCGCGUGUGUGAUGAAGGCUUUCGGGUCGUAAAGCACUGUUGUAUGGGAAGAACAGCUAGAAUAGGAAAUGAUUUUAGUUUGACGGUACCAUACCAGAAAGGGACGGCUAAAUACGUGCCAGCAGCCGCGGUAAUACGUAUGUCCCGAGCGUUAUCCGGAUUUAUUGGGCGUAAAGCGAGCGCAGACGGUUUAUUAAGUCUGAUGUGAAAGCCCGGAGCUCAACUCCGGAAUGGCAUUGGAAACUGGUUAACUUGAGUGCAGUAGAGGUAAGUGGAACUCCAUGUGUAGCGGUGGAAUGCGUAGAUAUAUGGAAGAACACCAGUGGCGAAGGCGGCUUACUGGACUGCAACUGACGUUGAGGCUCGAAAGUGUGGGUAGCAAACAGGAUUAGAUACCCUGGUAGUCCACACCGUAAACGAUGAACACUAGGUGUUAGGAGGUUUCCGCCUCUUAGUGCCGAAGCUAACGCAUUAAGUGUUCCGCCUGGGGAGUACGACCGCAAGGUUGAAACUCAAAGGAAUUGACGGGGACCCGCACAAGCGGUGGAGCAUGUGGUUUAAUUCGAAGCAACGCGAAGAACCUUACCAGGUCUUGACAUCCUUUGAAGCUUUUAGAGAUAGAAGUGUUCUCUUCGGAGACAAAGUGACAGGUGGUGCAUGGUCGUCGUCAGCUCGUGUCGUGAGAUGUUGGGUUAAGUCCCGCAACGAGCGCAACCCUUAUUGUUAGUUGCCAGCAUUCAGAUGGGCACUCUAGCGAGACUGCCGGUGACAAACCGGAGGAAGGCGGGGACGACGUCAGAUCAUCAUGCCCCUUAUGACCUGGGCUACACACGUGCUACAAUGGCGUAUACAACGAGUUGCCAACCCGCGAGGGUGAGCUAAUCUCUUAAAGUACGUCUCAGUUCGGAUUGUAGUCUGCAACUCGACUACAUGAAGUCGGAAUCGCUAGUAAUCGCGGAUCAGCACGCCGCGGUGAAUACGUUCCCGGGUCUUGUACACACCGCCCGUCACAC
rnacentral:rRNA from 1 species